CUGCUGGUUCCCCUCCGCCUAGGUCCCAAGAGCCUGACUUGUGAUGUUACUGAAAUACCUCACAAGUUAGGGUCUCAGGGACUAGGAAAAGUCUGGUUUGCUGCGG
ensembl:miRNA